ensembl:lncRNA
GUCAAACCCACAACCCCACAGCACACAUCAGUAAACACAGCACAGCCAUCUCCAUAAAUAAACAUAGAUUAUAAUCAGAAAGCGAAGGCAGUGAAGGGCUCUUUUUCCAGGAAGAAUGGUGGUCCGAACAAUGAUUCUCACAGAUGUCGCCAGUUCCCUCAUCAGGGCCUGACUUUGAUGAUCCUCUUUGAAGAGCCAACAGGAAGGCGGUCAGGGAGAGGGGAACACAGUAGUAGUGUGGGAAAGGAGCGCUAAAACCUGGUAGCCCCGGAGACAACGUUAUACCUCCUGAAAUACAGCGCUGCAGCCCCCAGCCAGCUCCUGCACCAUGUAUGGGCAAAUGCCAGGC